GAGCACCCCUGUGAGGCUGUCAGAACCCUCAGCAAUCAUCACCACCACAGGAAACACUGCUCCUGGCCACGGAGCAGCUGGCCCCCUCCCUACUCUCAUGGUUGGGCAAGAAGUUUAGUCUCCCAGCCCCAGUACCAGGAUCACAGCAUUCAGCCAAGGUUAUGUUGCCAAGUCCAAGCUCAUUCUGCCUGCCUGAUGCACAGUGAACAAAUAUUGAAACACCAGAGGCUGGGACAGAGGUUUAUUACAGGACCACGGAAGGAGAACCAGUGACCUGUGCACAAAAAACCCUGAACUCCCCCAGAUGGUUUCAGCAAAGCCUUUUUAAGGGCCAAGUGCAGAAAGUGGGUCACAGGGUAUGUGAUCAGCUCCUACACAGUUCUCCGACUGGUUGAUGGUGAGGUAACAGGGUGGUUAACAUGAUCAUUCUUUAGGCUCCACUAAGUCUGGGGGUUCAUGAUCAUCAC
ensembl:lncRNA